GUACUUUCUCCACGCACCCUGAAUCACCCGAGCUGCCCUAGCUUCCUUGCAAAUAUCCAAAAAUCGGGCACAGAGGUCCCAUGUCUUAGAAUUAUCUUCAGCUCUGAUCUCUCCUUCAAACGCCUCAUUCAGUUACUCGCCCAGUUUUGUUCAAGUCCAAAACUUUGCUUUAGCUGCUUCCCACCAGUGGAACGCUCUGCCUCCCCCAAUGAGACCAUCUGCCUCUCUCUACAGCUUCAAAUGGGUUCUCAAAAUUUUAUUAAAGCCUCCUAGCUGUUAUCCGAAUCCACCACUCUUUUGUCCUCAAUCACUUUCUCUUCCAUGUCACUCCCAGUUAGACUGUAGGCUCUUUAGAUGACUCUACGCAUAAUGAUGAUGAUGAGAAGGAGGAUGAUACUACUACUACUACUCAUAAAAACUAAACUGGAGUUCUGGAGACGCUGCUCAGUACAUUACAUUCAAACCAGGUGCAGAAAUAUAUUACACUUCAAUCAGUCAUGGGACUUAAAUUACUACAGCAGCACGUUUCCAUGAAUAUGAAAGCCAGCAGUAUUGCCGAUUGUUUUAAGUAUCAUUAUAACUUACACUUCUUAAAUGUAUAUAAAAAAUAAAAAAAUAUGAUGGUUGUAAUAAUAA